CCGGUCCCGGUUCACGUCUCCGAUCCGCGGAGGCGACCCGGCGGCC
rfam:Rhodococcus sp. BCP1 chromosome, whole genome shotgun sequence.